rnacentral:rRNA from 1 species
UCGAGCGAACUUCUUUAGAGCUUGCUUUAAAGAAGUUAGCGGCGGACGGGUGAGUAACACGUGGGCAACCUGCCUGUAAGACUGGGAUAACUUCGGGAAACCGGAGCUAAUACCGGAUAAUAUAUAGUACCUCCUGGUACUAUAUUGAAAGUUGGUUUCGGCUAACACUUACAGAUGGGCCCGCGGCGCAUUAGCUAGUUGGUGAGGUAACGGCUCACCAAGGCAACGAUGCGUAACCGACCUGAGAGGGUGAUCGGCCACACUGGGACUGAAACACGGCCCAGACUCCUACGGGAGGCAGCAGUAGGGAAUCUUCCACAAUGGACGAAAGUCUGAUGGAGCAACGCCGCGUGAGCGAUGAAGGCCUUCGGGUCGUAAAGCUCUGUUGUUAGGGAAGAACAAGUGCGAGAGUAACUGCUCGCACCUUGACGGUACCUAACCAGAAAGCCACGGCUAACUACGUGCCAGCAGCCGCGGUAAUACGUAAGUGGCAAGCGUUGUCCGGAAUUAUUGGGCGUAAAGCGCGCGCAGCGGUUUCUUAAGUCUGAUGUGAAAGCCCACGGCUCAACCGUGGAGGGUCAUUGGAAACUGGGAGACUUGAGUGCAGAAGAGAGAGUGGAAUUCCACGUGUAGCGGUGAAAUGCGUAGAGAUGUGGAGG